rnacentral:rRNA from 1 species
ACACGUAUGAAAGACAAGCUGAAAGACUUUUCUCAAUGAUGUAAGUGGUGGUGCAUGGUCGUUCGUAGUUCGUGGAUUGAUUUGUCUGGUCUAUUCCGAUAACGAGCGAGACCCCUACGUUCCUAAUAGGGGCAGUAGCCCGGCUUGCCGCUUCGGUGGCUUGCUAGCUGCUGCCUCACAUAGGCUUCUUAGACGUAUCAGAGCCGACAAGGUUCUUGAAAUGGGUUAAUAACAGGUCAGUCAUGCCCUUAGAUGUUCUGGGCCGCACGCGCGUUACAAUGGCAUGUAAAGCGAGUGCUCGAUAGGGCGUAUCCGCGGCCUACGGGUCGCGGUAAUCCCUAGUCCCUGCCUUGACUGGGACAGACUAUUGCAAUUAUUGGUCUCAAACGAGGAAUUUUUAGUAGUCGCAGGUCAUUAGCCUGCGACGA